GAUGAACGCUAGCGGCAGGCUUAACACAUGCAAGUCGAGGGGUAGGGCAGCAAUGCCUGAGACCGGCGCACGGGUGCGUAACGCGUAUGCAAUCUACCUUGUACAGGGGAAUAGCCCAGAGAAAUUUGGAUUAAUGCCCCAUAGCAUAUUUGAAUGGCAUCAUUUAAAUAUUAAAGUUCAGGCGGUACAAGAUGAGCAUGCGUCCCAUUAGCUAGUUGGUAUGGUAACGGCAUACCAAGGCAAUGAUGGGUAGGGGUCCUGAGAGGGAGAUCCCCCACACUGGUACUGAGACACGGACCAGACUCCUACGGGAGGCAGCAGUGAGGAAUAUUGGGCAAUGGGCGCUAGCCUGACCCAGCCAUGCCGCGUGCAGGAAGACGGUCCUAUGGAUUGUAAACUGCUUUUAUCUGGGAAGAAAAAGUCCAUGCGUGGAAAAUUGCCGGUACAGAUGAAUAAGCACCGGCU
rnacentral:rRNA from 1 species